AUAGGAGCAUUAUGUAAGAUAUCUACCGAGUUAAAUGAUAAAGUGACUACUAUAUGAUCAGACAUUAAGGAAACAUGCUAUGUUGAAGUGCUGGCUUCUCUGACAACAAUGCAGCAGCCAUAGGCCGUUUCUGAAUAGCCACAGUUCAGUAGGCAGUACGUACUUUUCAGUAGGGAGUUUCAGUAGACUGAACUUUCGUGCAUGGAUACUAACUUCCGGGUUUCAUGCAGUAUGGAUCGGAUGCAUCCUUUCAGGAAAUGAAUUGUAUUUUACCACCCACAAUGCUGUGCGACAUUAAACGUAAAUCGUCACUUCACGUCC